UACGUAGGGGGCGAGCGUUGUCCGGAUUUACUGGGCGUAAAGCGCGUGUAGGCGGCUGCCUAAGUGGGGUGUGAAAGCCCGGGGCUCAACCCCGGGACGCCGCUCCAGACUGGGUGGCUUGAGGACGGAAGAGGGGAGUGGAAUUCCUGGUGUAGCGGUGAAAUGCGUAGAGAUCAGGAGGAACACCCGUGGCGAAGGCGGCUCCCUGGUCCGUCCCUGACGCUGAGACGCGAAAGCGCGGGGAGCGAACGGG
rnacentral:rRNA from 1 species